UACGGAGGGGGCGAGCGUUAUUCGGAAUUAUUGGGCGUAAAGGGCGCGUAGGCGGCUUGGUAAGUCAAAGGUGAAAUCCCUCGGCUCAACUGAGGAAUUGCCUUUGAAACUGCCUGGCUCGAGGCCGGGAGAGGGUAGCGGAAUUCCCAGUGUAGCGGUGAAAUGCGUAGAUAUUGGGAGGAACACCGGUGGCGAAGGCGGCUACCUGGACCGGUUCUGACGCUGAUGCGCGAAAGCGUGGGGAGCAAACAGG
rnacentral:rRNA from 1 species